AAUAGAUACCCGGGUAGUCCACGCCGUAAACGUUGGGCGCUAGAUGUGGGGGCCAUUCCACGGUUUCCGCGUCGUAGCUAACGCAUUAAGCGCCCCGCCUGGGGAGUACGGCCGCAAGGCUAAAACUCAAAGGAAUUGACGGGGGCCCGCACAGGCGGCGGAGCAUGCGGAUUAAUUCGAUGCAACGCGAAGAACCUUACCAAGGCUUGACAUAUACGAGAACACUGCAGAAAUGUAGGACUCUUUGGACACUCGUAUACAGGUGGUGCAUGGUUGUCGUCAGCUCGUGUCGUGAGAUGUUGGGUUAAGUCCCGCAACGAGCGCAACCCUCGUCGCAUGUUGCCAGCACGUAAAGGUGGGAACUCAUGUGAGACUGCCGGGGUCAACUCGGAGGAAGGUGGGGAUGACGUCAAAUCAUCAUGCCCCUUAUGUCUUGGGCUUCACGCAUGCUACAAUGGCCGGUACAAAGGGCUGCAAUACCGUAAGGUGGAGCGAAUCCCAAAAAGCCGGUCUCAGUUCGGA
rnacentral:rRNA from 1 species